AGCGGGAGCCCACUCGUGACUUCGCAAAAUUACAUCGAUCUGCCACCGUGCCCGAAUCGGUACGCUCGGCAUUUCCGAAAUAAUUACAUCGACUGCCAUCGCCGUCCUCCCCCUCCACCCCCAUGGCGAAACCCUAGCCGCCGCCACCCCCCUCGCUGUAGCCUCCGCCCUUAUCCGCCGCUCGGAACUGCUUAUAGUCGCCCCCGCGUCCGCUCCCCUGCACCGCCAAGUUCUCUGCCGUCGUGGCCUCCACCCCCCUGCAACGCCGGGAUCUCAGAAGGAGCUCGAUUAGUGGGUAGAUUUACCAGAAGGAGCUUGAUUAAUUCUUAUACUGCUGAGAACUGAAUAUGUUCUUUGUAAUUUUACAGAUAUUUCUGCGUGGACAUGAUCUCUUGAAUUGCGCUUGUGAUGCUAUGGUUUGGUCAGGAGCAUCACUGAUUAGUUCGUGUGCUCUGUAACUUGUGCUUCUUUCAAGUUCAGAAGUAACCUCUUGUUCCUUUUUCUUCUGUCAUUGUGAAAACUUUGAAUUAGUCAGCUUCUUUUGAAAUCUUUUCACUAUUGUUGCUUGGCUUUGCAAAUCAUUAUAAUGGCGACACAUAUCUUUCUGUUCGAGCACUUUUACAGUACCCACAAAUUAAUUUAAGCCGUUAAUUUCUUCUAAUCUAACGGACAUAUUUUAUCUGUACUCCAAGGUAACAACUGGGGAGUACCAUCGAUCAAUACUUGGGAGUACCAUCCCCUCUGGGGUAAAAUCGUAAUUGCGAAGUCAAUUAACAGGGGAUAACCGGAUAAGUGCUGGAUGGACGGACUUAACGCAGUUAAUUACAGCGGCCGGUAUUGAGGCGACGAGAUUUGCCUCCGGUAUCUGGGGAUUUAGUCCAAGGAGUAGCACGCCGGCCGGCCGCCGGCCAGGCCUGCUGUCAACCCAAGCCACUGAUUGCAAACUUGCUCGGUCCUGUACUCCUGUACAUGGAGCAUGGAGCUCGAUCGUUCAGACGGCGGCGUGCAGUUCAUUGUCGAUUAGGAGGCGCUCGUGAAAGUCCAAAUCACCCCAGGCGAAAGGUCUAAACUACCCUAACAGAUGGACGGACAGAUUUGAUUGGUACUCCUUACCCUUUCUAGGGAGUACAAAGUUAAUUUCAGAACAAGCAACAACUUCAGCACCGGCAGCAGCGAUAGCUACAACUUCAGCACAGUACUAAGUUAGUUCUUGUAACCCCAAUUCUGAUACAUGAAGAUGGCUGUUCUGAUACCUAGUUCGACAAAAUGUGUGUGUGUGUGUGCGUGUGCAGAUUGUUCAUUCUGAUCUUGUAUCCCCGUUGCUUGUUUGAAGAGAGAAGCAGGUGUAACUUUGCUUUUUUUCCUUAUCUAUUCUGUGUGCAGCAAUGCAUUUCUGUAUGAAUUCACACUACUUACUGUUCUUGAUGUUUUUGUUAUCAAUUCUCAGUACAGUGCAAUUUAUCA